rnacentral:rRNA from 1 species
UACGUAGGGCGCAAGCGUUGUCCGGAAUUACUGGGCGUAAAGCGCACGUAGGCGGCUUUGUAAGUUAGAGGUGAAAGCCCAGGGCUUAACCCUGGAAUUGCCUUUAAGACUGCAUCGCUAGAAUUGUGGAGAGGUAAAUGGAAUUCCGAGUGUAGAGGUGAAAUUCGUAGAUAUUCGGAAGAACACCAGUGGCGAAGGCGACUUACUGGACACAUAUUGACGCUGAGGUGCGAAAGCGUGGGGAGCAAACAGG